rnacentral:rRNA from 1 species
UACGAAGGGGGCGAGCGUUGUUCGGAUUUACUGGGCGUAAAGGGCGCGCAGGCGGUUCUGUUUGUCGAGUGUGAAAGCCCCGGGCUCAACCUGGGAACUGCAAUGGAAACUGGCGGGCUUGAGUGUGGCAGAGGGGGGUGGAAUUCCGCGUGUAGCAGUGAAAUGCGUAGAGAUGCGGAGGAACACCGAUGGCGAAGGCAGCCCCCUGGGCCAACACUGACGCUCAGGCACGAAAGCGUGGGGGAGCAAACAGG